rnacentral:lncRNA from 12 species
GCAACAGCUCAGCUGAGUUAAAUUAAGCUCUGCUCAACUAAACUCCUUCCUAGGACUGGGAAAGAAAAUUCCUCCUGCGUGGUGCCACUUGUGUCUAGCAUUGUGGAAGCAGGCAGCAUCCCAGACCUGUGAAGGAGCUCAGCAGGAGGAGAAAGUGGGGGAAAAUAUUCCCAAAGCCGUGUUCUGCAGGUGGCUCAGUUUGAACAGAAGUCUGUGGUGGUCCAGCUCAUUGGGAACUUUUGUGCUCAAACCAGGAGGAUGCUGCAGCUGGGGCUGAUCCACGGCUCUCUGUGUCACUUCAGAGCUGUGUCAGUUCAUGGACAGAUUUAGCCCUCUUGCUGCUGAAUAUGAAAACCUGCAAGCACUUCUCUCUAAAACUGUAAUUCCAGCAAAUUACAUUCCCAAGUAGGCAG